AGGACAAACGCUGGCGGCGUACCUAAGACAUGCAAGUCGAACGGAUUGCGUAUCUUCGGAUGUGCAGUGAGUGGCGAACGGGUGAGUAACGCGUAGGAACCCGCCUCGACGUGGGGGAUAACACUUGGAAACAGGUGCUAAUACCGCAUGUGGUCGAGAGAAGAAAGGCUUGAGCAAUCAAGUCGCGUUGAGAGGGGCCUGCGUCCGAUUAGCUAGUUGGUGGGGUAACGGCUUACCAAGGCGACGAUCGGUAGCUGGUCUGAGAGGAUGGUCAGCCACACUGGGACUGAGACACGGCCCAGACUCCUACGGGAGGCAGCAGUUAGGAAAUUUUGCCAAUGGGGGAAACCCUGAGCGAGUAACGCCGCGUGGAGGACGAAGGCCUUCGGUUGUAACUCCUUUUCUGUGGGACGAUGAUGACGGUACCACAGGAAGAAGCCCGGCUAACUACGCGCCAGCAGCCGC
rnacentral:rRNA from 1 species